rnacentral:lncRNA from 1 species
GAAGCCCUGCACGUUCACGGUGAACGUGUCCGUAUACUCGAAGUAGUACGCCAGCAUCACCGUCCCUGCCAUGAUCACCAUCUGGAAAUAGAGCAUGCUGCUGACAGAAGAUGGAUGUACAAAAAGUCAAGGUGGAGGAGACCUCUAUCUUCGUAGGAUAGAGGAUAGUCCUUGAAUGGGCGAGCAUUGAAUAUUUGUGGAUGGCUUAGAUAAGUAUACCGAUGGCUGCAGCCUGAGCCAGUGACUUUAAGCCUUGGACAUCAAGCAGGCAAACCAGGCAAGAUUUUGACCUUGCUGCAUUACUGCAGGUAUGGCAGGUUUGCCCAGAGCUUCCUGAUGAAUUCACUCACUUCCAAUGACAGCAGAAGGAUUACUCACACUGAUAAAGGAAAUUGGCGGAAGCUACCCAGAAGGGCCACACCUCCAAAAGGUUUUUUUAAGUACAUGAAACAUUGAUGCACGUGCCCCGCCUGGCUUGGAAGUCCAGGACCAAGGUUCCAGCUGUCUGGCUGCAUCCACAUAUGGAGGAAGGCAGAAGGUCAAGCUCCCUGCAUGGUGCAUAAAGCCUCUUUUAUAAGGCCCUUAAUCCCAUUCAUGAGGAAGGAAACUUCAUGGCCUAUCAUCUCUCUCUCUCUUUUUCAAAUUUGAUUUUUUAUUUUAGAUAGAGGGGGUACAUGUGCAGGUUUGUUACAUAGGUAUAUUGCACCCAAGCAGUGAGCAUAGGUAGUUUUUCAUCCCACGCCCCAUCCCUCCCUCCCUUCUCUAGUAGUCCACAGCGUCUGUUGCUCCCACGUUUGUGUCCAUGUUAUGUACUCAAUGUUUAUCCCACACUUAUAAGUGAGAAUAUGUGGUUUUCAGUUCCUAUGUUACCUCACUUAGGAUUAUGGUCUCCAGCUUUAUCCAUGUUGCUGCAAAGGACAUUAUUUUGUUCCUUUUUAUGGCUGCAUGGUAUUCGAUAGUAUAUACGUACCAUAUUUUCUUGAUCCAAUCCACCACUGAUGGGCACCUUGGUUGAUUCUAUGUCUUUGCCAUUGUGAAUUGGGUGGUGAUAAACAUGAAUGCAUGUGUCUUUUGGUAUAAUGAUCUAUUUCC